CCUACGGGUGGCAGCAGUAGGGAAUCUUCCACAAUGGGCGAAAGCUUGAUGGAGCAACGCCGCGUGGGUGAAGAAGGUCUUCGGAUCGUACAACCCUGUUGUUAGAGAAGAAAGUGCGUGAGAGUAACUGUUCACGUUUCGACGGUAUCUAACCAGAAAGCCACGGCUAACUACGUGCCAGCAGCCGCGGUAAUACGUAGGUGGCAAGCGUUAUCCGGAUUUAUUGGGCGUAAAGGGAACGCAGGCGGUCUUUUAAGUCUGAUGUGAAAGCCUUCGGCUUAACCGGAGUAGUGCAUUGGAAACUGGGAGACGUGAGUGCAGAAGAGGAGAGUGGAACUCCAUGUGUAGCGGGGAAAUGCGGAGAUAUAUGGAAUAACACCAGUGGCGAAAGCGGCUCUCUGGUCUGUAACUGACGCUGAGGUUCGAAAGCGUGGGUAGCAAACAGGAUUAGAUACCCUAGUAGUC
rnacentral:rRNA from 1 species